GCCGGGUGCAGUGGUGCACACCUGUAAUCCCAGCACUUUGGGAGGCAGAGGCGGGUGGAUCACCUGAGGUCAGGAGUUCAAGACCAGCCUGGCCAACAUGGUGAAACCCCGUCUCUA
rnacentral:SRP_RNA from 1 species